UACGUAGGGCGCAAGCGUUGUCCGGAAUUAUUGGGCGUAAAGAGCUCGUAGGCGGCUUGUUGCGUCAGCUGUGAAAACCCGCAGCUCAACUGUGGGCUUGCAGCUGAUACGGGCAGGCUUGAGUUCGGUAGGGGGAGACUGGAAUUCCUGGUGUAGCGGUGAAAUGCGCAGAUAUCAGGAAGAACACCCGUGGCUAAGGCGGCUCUCUAGUACGGUACUGACGCUGAGACGCGAAAGCGUGGGGAGCGAACAGG
rnacentral:rRNA from 1 species